UACGUAGGGGGCAAGCGUUGUCCGGAUUCAUUGGGCGUAAAGAGCUCGUAGGCGGCUUGGCAAGUCGGGUGUGAAAACUUCAGGCUCAACCUGGAGCGGCCACUCGAUACUGCCAUGGCUUGAGUCCGGUAGGGGACCACGGAAUUCCUGGUGUAGCGGUGAAAUGCGCAGAUAUCAGGAGGAACACCGGUGGCGAAGGCGGUUCUCUGGGCAUGUCCUGACGCUGAGGAGCGAAAGUGUGGGGAGCGAACAGG
rnacentral:rRNA from 1 species